GUGGGGAAUCUUGCACAAUGGGGGAAACCCUGAUGCAGCGACGCCGCGUGAGUGACGAAGCCCUUCGGGGUGUAAAGCUCUUUCGACAGGAACGAUAAUGACGGUACCUGGAGAAGAAGCUGCGGCUAACUACGUGCCAGCAGCCGCGGUAAUACGUAGGCAGCAAACGUUGUUCGGAGUUACUGGGCGUAAAGAGUACGUAGGCGGUUUGCCAAGUCUAGUGUGAAAUCUCCCGGCUUAACUGGGAGGGUGCGCCGGAUACUGGCGAGCUUGAGUGUGGGAGAGGGAAGCAGAAUUCCUGGUGUAGCGGUGAAAUGCGUAGAUAUCAGGAGGAAUACCUGUGGUGAAGACGGCUUCCUGGACCACAACUGACGCUGAGGUACGAAAGCGUGGGGAGCAAACAGGAUUAGAUACCCCAGUAGUCC
rnacentral:rRNA from 1 species